UGUGGCAGGUAGUUCGUGGAACGGAAUAUAUUGUACUUCUUCGAACAGAAUCUCGACGUAUUCCACCAACUUCUGCGCCCAGAACUGCUUUAGAAAAUAUUUUAAAGCCGGAUGUUCCCUUCACUAAAGUCCAGGAGCCGAAUUUGAAGAACUAAACCGGAGAUAUUUCGGAUAAGAAAUGGCUCGAGACGAGGGUUGUGCUGUCCUAUCGGUAUAAAUGUGAAAGAGAACACGCGGACAACACAUCUGCAGACAAAGGGAAGGAAACGAAAACCGGAGGAUUAGAAACUUGAAAAGGAGGAUUGAAAAUGAACAAUGGGAAAAGUUUAAAAGGAUGCAAGAGGAAUCAAUUUAA